rnacentral:rRNA from 1 species
GCUUUUGUGGGGUGCUCGAGUGGCGAACGGGUGAGUAACACGUGAGUAACCUGCCCUUGACUUUGGGAUAACUUCAGGAAACUGGGGCUAAUACCGGAUAGGAGCCAUUUUUAGUGUGAUGGUUGGAAAGUUUUUCGGUGUAGGAUGAGCUCGCGGCCUAUCAGCUUGUUGGUGGGGUAAUGGCCUACCAAGGCGGCGACGGGUAGCCGGCCUGAGAGGGUGGACGGCCACAUUGGGACCGAGAUACGGCCCAG